CGGGGGGAGCAAGCGUUGUUCGGAUUUACUGGGCGUAAAGGGCGUGUAGGCGGCCACCGCAAGUCAGUUGUGAAAGCUCUGGGCUUAACCCAGAAAGGUCAACUGAUACUGCGGGGCUAGAGUGCAGAAGGGGCAACUGGAAUUCUCGGUGUAGCGGUGAAAUGCGUAGAUAUCGAGAGGAACACCUGCGGCGAAGGCGGGUUGCUGGGCUGACACUGACGCUGAAACGCGAAAGCUAGGGGAGCGAACGGGAUUAGAUACCCCGGUAGUCCUAGCCUUAAACGAUGAAUGCUUGGUGUCUGGGGUUUUAUAGUCCCCGGGUGCCGUCGCUAACGCUUUAAGCAUUCCGCCUGGGGAGUACGGUCGCAAGACUG
rnacentral:rRNA from 1 species